rnacentral:lncRNA from 1 species
AACAUGAUUCAGAAAACUUACUUUCUCAUUUUGCUGCCCAGUUCUGGAAGAAAAGGUUUUGAUUCAAUUGCUCUCCUGGUUUUUUUCUCCCUCCCACUCACCCUGUGGGUAGGAUGUCUGUCCUCCACCCCAGGGGUGAGGAGCCACUGAGCAGCUUGUUGCAGGCAUGGGCAUUUGAGUGUACAGCCAUUUGGUUCCCUGGCUGUGGAAGCUGCUUGAGUUGAUUUACAGCCCUUAAUGGGGACUUUUUGGGUAAUACCACAGCUUCUCACUAAUGAAAUUCCUGCACAUGAGCUCCCGUGGGACUCUUGCAAGUAAUUUUACUGCAUGUAUUUUACUGCUCCUCUGGCAAAGGGGCACAGUGCACACAGGCACAGAGGUGCAGCAGCUGAAUGCCGGAGCUGGUUGAUGGAUGAACUCCAGGAAAAUCUAGGAAACUCUAGGAACUGUUGUGAGAUCCACUUUCUUCCCAUAAAGCAUAAGAGGGACUGCAUGACACUGAGCUUGAACAACAUUCAGAAGGAAAAAAAGAACUCCAAAGUUCUUUGGCUACCAGGCCAUAGGUACACUGUGCUCUGUUACUUGAUAAAAGGGUUGUUUCAAAAUAAUUCCAAGGUUUUCAUUAAUCCACUUGCAAAGACACCCAUGGGCUCGAAGGAGGUUUUUAGAGGGCUUCCUCAAGGGGUUCUGACCCUGUGCCCAUUCCCACUAUCCCAGUGAGGGCAGAAGGUGGCUAUACAAGUACAGCAUUCGCAGAAAUGUCCAUUUAGGCAAAAGCUUAACUUGCACGGCCUCAAAGAGAUGAACUCAACAGACAGUACCUCUCCCUUUGAAUCCAAAUCUGAGCCCCAGGGAUAGAUUUGAGCUUGUUGCAUUUGUGGUGCACCCUUCCCCAGCACCUCCUCGAAGGAAAUCAUCCUGUGAGCCUGAUUUUAGUUUGCCAUAGGCCACGAGGCAGUCACAGUGCUGGCCAUGGCAAACAGCCUUAGAUGAAUCGUGUGAGAUGAGACCAUGGGCAGUUCUGCCUCACACGCAGCUGAGCAUACAGCUCCCAUUCAUCUUCCUUUUUCCCUUGGCUUUGGAGGCAAACAAUUCACCUCAGCUUUGAACCUUGAGUGUAAAUUCGACUUUCCUUAGCCUUCUAAAUUAUUCUAGUCUAGUCCUUUCCAGCUGUGCCAGAUACAGCCAGAAUUGCCACUCAUGGGUUGCAAUACAUUAAGCUUUAUGACUUGGUGACUGACACUGUUUAUAUCACAGAGGUUUUCAUUUGUGUAUGUUGUUUGUCUCGAUUCCCAAACCUCAAAUUAACUAGAUAAGAAGGGCUGCCAGAGCUGAUAUAGGGAGCAGUAUUUAAGAUACAUUUGUCAGCCAAAAUAAAUGUGUGUUAGAAAGUGUCUGUCUGGGGGUU